rnacentral:rRNA from 1 species
GACGAACGCUGGCGGCGUGCUUAACACAUGCAAGUCGAACGGAAAGGCCCUGCUUUUGUGGGGUGCUCGAGUGGCGAACGGGUGAGUAACACGUGAGUAACCUGCCCUUGACUUUGGGAUAACUUCAGGAAACUGGGGCUAAUAUCGGAUAGGAGCUCCUGCUGCAUGGUGGGGGUUGGAAAGUUUCGGCGGUUGGGGAUGGACUCGCGGCUUAUCAGCUUGUUUGUGGGGUAGUGGCUUACCAAGGCUUUGACGGGUAGCCGGCCUGAGAGGGUGACCGGCCACAUUGGGACUGAGAUACGGCCCAGACUCCUACGGGAGGCAGCAGUGGGGAAUAUUGCACAAUGGGCGGAAGCCUGAUGCAGCAACGCCGCGUGCGGGAUGACGGCCUUCGGGUUGUAAACCGCUUUCGCCUGUGACGAAGCGUGAGUGGCGGUAAUGGGUAAAGAAGCACCGGCUAACUACGUG